AUCUUCUCUUGUAAUUUAUUUUAGAUUUGACCUGCCCAAUGAAUUUUUAAUGGCCGCGGUAAUUUGACCGUGCAAAGGUAGCAUAAUCAUUAGUUUAUUAAUUUGUAAACUUGUAUGAAUGGUUGGACGAGAUAUUGACUGUCUCAUAUUUAUUUUUAUAAUUUAAAUUUUGAGUUAAAAUGCUUAAAUUUUUUUAUAGGACGAGAAGACCCUAUAGAUCUUUAUUUUUUAUUUUAAUUAUUUUUUUUGGAUAAUAAUAUUUUAUUUUUGAUUUAAAUUAUUUGGUUGGGGUGAUCUUUAAGAAAAAUUUAACUCUUAAUUUUAUUUUUCAUUUGUUUUUGUUUAUUAGACCUUUUAUUAUUGUUUAUAAGAUGUAGAUACCUUAGGGAUAACAGCGUAAUUUUAUUUGAGAGUUCUUAUUGACAAUGAAGAUUGCGACCUCGAUGUUGGAUUAAGAUUAUAAUUUGGUGUAGGUGCUUUAUUAUUAAGUCUGUUCGACUUUUAAAAUCUUACAUGAUCU
rnacentral:rRNA from 1 species